rnacentral:lncRNA from 1 species
UUAAUAACAGCAUCAACCACAUCAUCUUCCACCAAAAGCAAACAGGAAAGCUAGUUCUGCCGCCCAGCUGGGUGGAUGUCAGCUGCAGACAGCUGCAAAUUGCCUGAACAAGGACAGAUGUAGCUUGUUUUUGCCUUUCUUUUUCCAUUUGAAAACUUUGAGAGGGGGAGAUGAGAAUGCUGUUAGGGAAAUGAAUGUGUUGAUUCUAAUUAUCCAAGCGGGCGGGCGGCAGAGGUGACAUGCAGCAAGAUGGGCUCCGAGUCAUUUACCUGGAAUGCAGCCAAGACAAGGCUGGAGAAGGCAGAAUUCCAAUGAAGCUGACACUCAGGACACUGAGCACAAAGAAGGAGGCAUCUAUGAACUCACAGGUCACAAGGUCACAGAUGACCGCCUCCUGCCUGCUGACGAUGGCUCGAUCCACGGUGGACUGUUCCAGGUACUCGAUGCGCAUCUGAGCCACCUGCAGCUGUAAUGAUGGAAAGCCAGAGAUGUUUGGAGGGACCAUGACUUCAAAGGAAGAUUUCGCAGAGGAUCGUGAUCCUGUCUUGCACAGACCAUCUCUUGUUCUUGGAGCCAUUUCUCAGACGGAGAAAAUUCUGCACUGAAUGGCUGAAUCUCAGUGCAUGGGGCACGCUUGGAUUCAGCACAAGCACAGGCCAAGAGUAAAUGAGUGUGAGUGUGUGUGCAUGUGUCUGUCUAAGGACUGGUCUCAAUUCACCUCGCACACAACUGGAAUUGAGUGAGUAUUUGAAUGAACUGAUGAAUAAAAGAAUGAAGGAAACAGUUUCCAGGAGCCAAAGUAUAAGUAAGUGCCCAGGGAGAAUCCCUCUCUUCCUCCCUGUGAUGGUUAAUACUGAGUGUCAACUUGAUUCCAUUGAAGGACACAAAGUAUUGAUCCUGGGUGUAUCUGUGAGGUUGUUGCCAAAAGAGAUUAACAUCUGAGUCAGUGGGCUGGGGAAGGCAGAUCCACCCUUAAUCUGGUGGGCACCAUCUAAUCAGCUUCCAGAGAAUAUAAAGCAGGCAGGAAAACGUGAAAAGGAGAGAGAUGGGCCUUAGCCUCCCAGCCUACAUCUUUCUCCCGUGCUGGAUGCUUCUUGCCCUUGAACAUUGAAUUCCAAGUUCUUCAGUUUUGGGACUCGGACUGGCUCUCCUUGCUCCUUAGCUUGCAGAAGGCCUAUUGUGGGACCUUGUGGUCAUGUAAGUUAAUACUUAACGUAUUUCCCAGCUGGGCCUGGUGGUUCACACCUAUAAUCCCAGCACUUUGGGAGACUGAGAAGGGCGGAUCACCUGAGGUCAGGAGUUAGAGACCAGCCUAACCAACAUGGUAGAACCCCGUCUCUACUUAAAAAACAAAAAUUAGCCAGGCAUGGUGGCGGGUGUCUGUAAUCCCAGCUACUUGGGAGGCUGAGGCGGGAGAAUCGCUUGAACCUGGCAGGCAGAGGUUGCAGUGAGCCAAGAUCGCGCCACUUCACUCCAGUCUGGGUGACAGAGUGAGACUCUUGUCUCAAAAAUAAAUAAACAAAUAAACAAACAAUAAACUCAUACACACACACACACACACACACACACACACACAUCCUAUUAGUUCUGUCCCUCUAAGAAAACCCUGACUAAUACAACUAUAGGAUGGCUCUGAGCACAUACUUGUUCUUGUAGCUUGUGCUUCUCCUUCUUG